rnacentral:lncRNA from 1 species
GGGAGCUAUAAGGACCAUCAAGCCUGGAGCUGCCAUUAGCAACUUCAUCCUGCCUCCCGGGGAGAGCCUGCAUGAGAAUGCCAGGCAGAUGUUAAAAAUGGCAUUGCAGGAAAAUAUUUAAUGAUCUGGAGAGAUGUCCAUGAUACCUCCUUGCAUUCAAAAAAAACAAGCUACAAAACAGUACAUACCCUAUUACUUGCUAUAUCUCUGCUCAUAUCUAUUCAUGUGCAAAUAACAAAAUGGAUGAUAGAUGCCAAGAUAUUAACAGUGGUUCUCUCUGUGACCUGCAGUCCCGACUGUGCCUGAGUGAU